AACGAACGCUGGCGGCAUGCCUAACACAUGCAAGUCGAACGAGACCUUCGGGUCUAGUGGCGCACGGGUGCGUAACGCGUGGGAACCUGCCCUUAGGUUCGGAAUAACUCCCCGAAAGGGGUGCUAAUACCGGAUAAUGUCUUCGGACCAAAGAUUUAUCGCCUUUGGAUGGGCCCGCGUUGGAUUAGCUAGUUGGUAGGGUAAAAGCCUACCAAGGCGACGAUCCAUAGCUGGUCUGAGAGGAUGAUCAGCCACACUGGGACUGAGACACGGCCCAGACUCCUACGGGAGGCAGCAGUGGAGAACAUUGGACAAUGGGCGAAAGCCUGAUCCAGCAAUGCCGCGUGAGUGAUGAAGGCCUUAGGGUUGUAAAGCUCUUUUACCCGGGAUGAUAAUGACAGUACCGGGAGAAUAAGCUCCGGCUAACUCCGUG
rnacentral:rRNA from 1 species